AUGCAAGUCGAGGGGCAGCAUGAACUUAGCUUGCUAAGUUUGAUGGCGACCGGCGCACGGGUGAGUAACACGUAUCCAACCUGCCGAUGACUCGGGGAUAGCCUUUCGAAAGAAAGAUUAAUAUCCGAUGGCAUAGUUCUUCCGCAUGGUAGAACUAUUAAAGAAUUUCGGUCAUCGAUGGGGAUGCGUUCCAUUAGGUUGUUGGCGGGGUAACGGCCCACCAAGCCUUCGAUGGAUAGGGGUUCUGAGAGGAAGGUCCCCCACAUUGGAACUGAGACACGGUCCAAACUCCUACGGGAGGCAGCAGUGAGGAAUAUUGGUCAAUGGACGAGAGUCUGAACCAGCCAAGUAGCGUGAAGGAUGACUGCCCUAUGGGUUGUAAACUUCUUUUAUACGGGAAUAAAGUGAGGCACGUGUGCCUUUUUGUAUGUACCGUAUGAAUAAGGAUCGGCUAACUCCGUGCCAGCAGCCGCGGUAAUACGGAGGAUCCGAGCGUUAUCCGGAUUUAUUGGGUUUAAAGGGAGCGUAGGCGGACGCUUAAGUCAGUUGUGAAAGUUUGCGGCUCAACCGUAAAAUUGCAGUUGAUACUGGGUGUCUUGAGUACAGUAGAGGCAGGCGGAAUUCGUGGUGUAGCGGUGAAAUGCUUAGAUAUCACGAAGAACUCCGAUUGCGAAGGCAGCCUGCUGGACUGUAACUGACGCUGAUGCUCGAAAGUGUGGGUAUCAAACAGGAUUAGAUACCCUGGUAGUCCACACAGUAAACGAUGAAUACUCGCUGUUUGCGAUAUACAGUAAGCGGCCAAGCGAAAGCGUUAAGUAUUCCACCUGGGGAGUACGCCGGCAACGGUGAAACUCAAAGGAAUUGACGGGGGCCCGCACAAGCGGAGGAACAUGUGG
rnacentral:rRNA from 1 species